CUCGCGUCGUCCCAGACUCUCCACAGCUCCCGCUGCCGAGACUCCGAGCAGACGUCGCAGCGGGCCAAGCGUCGCCACUCUGGGGACGCGAACAAGCUGGCGGCCCGCGCCCCUCUCCUGCUACCUGGUCGCGGGAAAACGAACUAGCACCGCUCCCCGGGCCGAGGCCAUUCCCCCGCCCCCACCGCCGGAAGAGCUGCCCUUCCCCGAUGGGAGGGGGGCGGGAAACUUUGCGAGACGACUGUUCCGCGCCUUUCUCGCGUGGCGUCGGAGAGGAACUUGGGUGGGUUUCCCGUCCGAGGCCUGACCACACCCUCCCACUUUUCUAGGCCUCGGACCUCAACCUCGUGGACUACGGAGCGGAGGGGGACACUUCGGGCCACUCGGAGGGUGGCACCGAAGUCAGGCGUCCCCAAGGGCUCUGGCGGAUGGCCAAGUUUGUGUUCUUUCCAUCCCACGCCGGAGUAGCGCUCGCUACUUUGGGGAAACUUCAGACUCCUCAACCCCGGCCACGAGGCCACCCCUGUCUUUAAGACCACAUAAGGAACACCAUGAUCCGUGCAUCUGUGCAGCUUGUUCCAGAGUCCCAGCCCUCACCAGCUGUGAGGUCACAUCUCUUGGAAGGCAGUCAUCUACCUCAACCAGCAGCUCCGAGAUGCUGGGCAGCGGGACCAUAUCUGCCAUUGGGAGAGCUGCCGCUGGUGCUCUGGGCUGUCCUACUCCUUCCGGUAGCCAAAGAGAGGAUGCGAGUUUUAAAAAUGCAUAUAUUCAGAGAAUAUGCACCUACUUUGUGGGAGGAAGAAAAAAUACGGCGCUGCUCAGCUAGUACACAGAGGAAACCAAAGAGUUCCAAAGGCAUGUUUGGGGACAGAGAGCUGUUUCAGGUAUCUCAAAGUAAAAAAGAUGUAUUUUGUAAAACCUUAAGAUGUAGAUAUUACCAUGGGCGUACUUGCAGCAAGAUUGCCUUCCCCAAACUAUUAAUUCAUAAAACGUCUGUCUCCUAAUUGGAAGGCGGGGGAUGCCUGGAGGCACAACUGGCCCAUCCCACCGCCUUCUGCCUGGAUUGUCCACAAAGCCACUGGGCCAGCAUGUGGCCCUCUGUGCAGAGGCCAAGAAGAGAGGCUGCAGACAGGUGGGGCUGCAGCUUGGCCACAAAGUGCUCCCUACCGCCACCAAGAAUGGAGCUGGGAUGGGGCUCUCCACCCAGCACAGAUCUUUCCCCAUCUCUCCCGUUGCCAGAAGCCUCAGGUGGGCUGGGCUGGUAGAGGAAUGAACUUAGCAGAGACCCACUUGGUUCCAGGAACCAUGACUUGAUACCGCUGAAUCACGAUUGCCUGCUGGAAGGGACAGUGCAGCCUUAGUCUUUGUAUGUGUGAAUUUAGUGUCUGCUCGGGGGCUAGAAUCAGAGCUGUGGUUGGAAGCAUCCAGCCCCAGAUUGUAAAGUGGGUAGGAAUUUUUGCUUGGUCACAAAGUCUGGUGUGCAGACACUAAUGCUCUUUAUUUUCCUUUUUCGUUCUUUUUUUUUUUUUUUUGCAGCCUCUAAAUUUUUAUUAACAUGCAUUUUUAAAAGCAAGCAUCCAUGCUAGUGUGUGUGUGGGGUAAGGGUGGGAGAGGAGGGCAGGGCAGGGCGAAGGAAUUCUGCUUUA
ensembl:lncRNA